UGCAGACUGACUUUUUAAUUGACUUCUGUUUUGCAUUGUCAUUCUGCCAGGCUGAUGGAAAGCACAUCUGGUGGUGAAGUUGCUCCUCUGUCCCAAGCCCUUCCCUACUUUUCCCAGGUGCCCAGGCUGCCAUGAGACCAAGAUAUCAGGGACAAGAUUGUUGAGGUUCCAAAAUCAGAAGCCACCUAGGGUCCCUGUACUCAGUGCCCACUCAAGCCUGGGGACCCUGGGUACAGGCCUUCCUGGGUGGAGAAACAGAGGCCAGGAAGGAAGAAGACUUAUGUGGAGAACAGGGUACACCACUACUCUGACCCAGAAUGCUGAAGUUCUUAAAGAAGAGAAAUGACUUUCCAGUUACAAAUGAGAAAACCAAGGCCCAGGGAGAACAUCAAAGUCACUUGCUAAAAGUCA